GAGAGAUGGCGGAGUGGUCGAUCGCGGCGGUCUUGAAAACCGCUGACCCGCAAGGGUCCGGGGGUUCGAAUCCCUCUCUCUCC
rnacentral:tRNA from 1 species